rnacentral:ncRNA from 1 species
UUAAAGACAACGACCAGAAGAUUAGGUUAGGUAGUUUGGGCAGAGAUUUCUCGGCUGGUGGAAAGAGAAAGCAAACUUCCUAGCUGAACCACAUCUGCCAGUUGCCCCGUUGAACCCUUAAUAGUAGGCGGGGCCGGGUCUGCCCGUUAGCAGGAGAGUUUUUAACUCGCUGAGGUUAACUUUGUGAGAAGUUAACAUAUUUGAGGUGGGACCGCGUUAUCAACGCCCUCUGA